CCACAGUCAGGGGGACACCUGCGGGCCCUCGCCUUGAGUUUUUUCAACUGACAUCCCACUCUGUUGCCGCUGUGACACGCCUCCUCCUCAGCCUGUAUACCUUAUUGUUGGAAUACUCUGGCUUUACAUUUUGGUAACUGUCUGGCAAAUAAGAGAGAGGAGAGAGAAAAAUGUGUCUGGGACGCUACUUGGUCCCCUUGUGUUAACCAGUCAAGGAACUUCCAAUGAAACCUCCUUGCCUGCCAAUCACUUUGCAUAUACACUGCAUACUAAUAAAAGUCUUCGGUGCUCAAGUUUGUUGGAAGUAAACAAGAAAUACUAACACCGCUGGCAACAUAUCUUAAACCCUGCCAAGUAUUUUGUGCAUACACUGCAUAGUGAAGUAAGUGGGUGCCUUAUUCUGGUGUGAGUUAACAAGAAAUGCAAACACCACUCGCAGCACCUUUAAACCCUUGUGCCCCUGGUUUAGCCUUGCAGAUGGAGGAGCUUGGCCCUCUUCAUUAGCCCCGGAGAGCACUUCUGAUUCCUCCACUGUCUCAUUAAAGCUGCCGUUGGCCCGCCAGGCAGUGUGAUUGCAUUCACACCGGCUCCUUUGUCUGCGUUCACGCCCCGCGCUCGUUCUUUCAGUGCUGUUGCAUCAGUGCCCUUUUGUGUGUCUCCACAGCAGUCCUGAUUACCAUCAUCUGUAGACUGCUGCUUCGCACGGCACUUUUUUGUUCCUUGCUCCGGUUUGCAUCAGUAAACAGCGGCCACCCGUCGAGUCCACGUUCAGUUUGAAUCCGUCAUUGGUAAUUUCAUGGAAACCGGCGAAGGCAACAGGCUUUUAUAGAGUUUUAUAACAGCCACACUGUUUGCCCUUCAACAGUUGCUAAGGACUAGAGAAGCGUUUCUGACUUCCCAACUAAGCUUGAGUUAUUCCUCUACACCAAGACUUUACCCCAUGUUGUUUGUUUUCUUUUGCUUUCACUGGUUUGAACAGUGUGUUGUUAUGUGCAGAUUAAGUGAACGGCAUUAUCCAGAAUGCACUAGGCAUACGGGCUGUAGACGUUAUGGAUACAUGUUGAAAGUCGCUCCAGUAAAGUUUGAGCAAAACCCACGCUUACCGUGUGAGAGUAGUAUUUUAAAAUGCACUGCAUGGCAUAACAAACAGAAGCAGAGGUCUGGUCACUCAUCUCCCGGCCUGUAGCCACCCUACUCAGCCACUCUUGGCAGGUUGGGAAAGGUGUGACUUUGCCUCUGCCUCCCUCUCCCUUCCCUCUCUUUGCACAGCCUGCUUGGGUAUUCAGUGGCGUCCUCCCUGAUUGAUGAGUCGGCCGGGGGAGCGGAAAUCUAUCCCCAGGCUGCAGGCGAGGGCCCGGUGAUGGAUGAUUCCUCGGAGGUCUGUGCCGGACUGAUGGGUCACACUGGCCAGGCCCUGCCCACCGGGCUUGUGGUAGGUGUGGGAAAGGGAGGAGUGGAAAAAAUGGUGAAAUGAUACUCUCCACCAGGGGCGUCGUUAGGCUGAAGCCCCCCUAAAAUGUUCUUCAGCCCCCCCAAAUCAUUUGGCAUUAUUGGCUUAAAAAAAAAUUAAACUAUUGUUUCUCACACGGACAAGUUAUUUAUAACUCUAACAUGCUACUUAUGUGCGUGCGUUCUGGUUUGUAUGUUUACUCCCCCUUCAAUUUAUAAUCCAAUAGCCUUUCAUCAUACUUUACGAUAUAAACCCCGGGCACUAGUACCGUCUCUCGUCAACGACAGCCAGUAUUAUAGACAAGGAGUUCAAAGUAAAUGAUGCACGGAGUGAAAUUGUAAGUACAAGAAGUUACAGAAUGUGGCUAUCUGUAGUUGUUAACGAGUGUUACCUGCUUUAGGUUUACUUGAUAUGAGGCAAAUGAAAGCGAAUAUUGUAGUGGGCUAUGUUAAAACUAAGCUAGCUUGCUACUUUGUUAGAAACUGUCACCAGUUAGCAAGAGUGUGAACGAGUGAAUUCGAAAUACAAGAAAUAACUAUCGACAUCUCUCUAUUCUUUGCAUUGAUAUAUCUCUCUAUUAUUUCAAAACAAUAUUAUCAGUCCCUAUAGAAUGUUGUUAUUUAUAAUCAGUUAAUGCUAGUGAAAACUAAAUGUCAUAGUGUCCCUCAUAACGCUAUUGUACCGGUAUAUCAUCCAAUUCAUUGACCAGAUGGAUAUGAGAACAUUCUUUAGGAGAGGUGGCAGCUCCGCCCAGUCAGAUGAGAGAGAGAAGCAGGAGAUUGACAGGGCUGAAGGAGCCGGUGUGAUGGAGGUUAGUGGUCUACAGGUCUAGAAGGAAAUGAGUGGAGUUUUUUUUAUUUUCUUCUACUGUGGUAGAAAUGUAUAGGCAUUUGUUGUCAGGCCUAGGCUACUCCAAGGGUUAGCCUAAACUAGAUCAUUACAUGAUAUUUGUAUGCCAAGUCAUAAAAUUGGCUUCUGGAUUUCGAUCAGUUAAUGUUUCAAUGUUUGAACUUAUCUUAAAGGGUCAUGCAGAAGGAGAGGCUGAGGCAGAGCGUCAGAGAGAGGAAGAGACAGACCAAGCAGGUGCAUAUUUGUGCUGUCAAAUUUCACUCUGACCCUGUCAUUCUGUGUCUUGGUGCGGCAAAGCGGAACAAGGGCUCUGGAGACUGACUGAAAGCCCCUGGAUACAGCCUUUGCCUGUUAGUUGCCUAAUAAGCAAUGACUCUUAAAACCAGUUGGUUCAGUCAUCCGUGGCGCAUAAGUGAAGGCAUCUCGUGAUUUGUGACGGGUUGGGUGAUGUUUUCUUUUCAAAAUGGUCUUGUGCUAUAUCUGUUCAUCUAGCAUUUCCCACAACCUUUCCUCUUCUCUUGAAACAUCAAUGCAACAUUUUUCUGCUAAAGUUUUUUUGUGGGUUUGUUUGUGUGUAUGUGUGUGUGUGUGUGUGUGUGUGUGUAUGUGUUUGGGUGUGCUGUGUGUGUCUUUGUGUACGUGUGAGACUAUGAAAAGCUUCUCAUGGAAACGCUGCAUACAAAUGAACGUUUGGAUAUAUUUCUGUGCCUGUGUUUGAGUAGUGAGCAGCUGACGCUUUCGGGGAGGUGUUGCAGUUUCUGCGUGGAUGCUGCUGAAAGUGUUAGCUGAGUCCACGCCCCCCACACUUCUACCCUGCCACAACAGCAUACACUCAGCACCUCUUCACACUCUUAACCAGCCAAUGCACACGUGACACUCCGGAAAGAGCACACCACCCAUGGUGCAAAGCAGACACACCCUUAAUAAUGUUCUGUGUAAAGUGUGUGUGUGUGUGUGUGUAAGUGUGUAAGGCAAAUCAGUCACGCCCUGAGAUGCGUACAGUGUCUGUGUGUGAAGUGAUGUGAAAUUAAUAUAAUUUGUGUUUUUAUUACCAUUGUGCAGAUGGAUCACGGACCAGCAGUGCUUUCGUGUAGACUUUGGUGUGAAAACAUCCCCUCCACGAUGACUUGAGCCCCACUGGGGAUGAAGACUGGGCCCCUUCCAGCGAGCCAGUUAAAAGCUGACGGUUCAUUUUAUAAACACAUAAUGGAUGUCUCUCCAUUGACCCACUGCACUAUUUAUGAAGCCCAGGCAAUCCCCAACUCAAUUUUCUCAAUGCAGCAAAUAUGCAAAUGAAAGUCUGACAGAAGUUAUUGUAUGCGUCCACCAUUCUGUGCGGUACUUCAGCGCAGUAGCUCCUGUCUGCCAGCAAGUCAGAGUGAAGAUGAAUGAACAUGGAUUAAAUGUCAGCACACAGAAGACAGACCCUCGACCAGGGCAGUGGUAUGCAUCAUCACCUGCCUUAAUCUCCAUGGUGCAGAGUAGAGAGGCCGCUCGCCGCCCAGAUUAACGCAGAGAGAAAUACUCUGAGAUGUCUGAGGCACUAAUCGUGGUUAGCCUCAGGAUCAGUUCUCUUUUUUUUUGUUUUAAAGGAGAUUUUAAUAGCGCUCUUCUCUUGUCCUGGAAACUGCUGCCCUGUGAGCGAGCCUUUGUCCCAGCAUCUGGCUAGUGUUCAGUGCUCGAGCCAAAACAGAUGUCGGGAGGUCGUUCAGAGAUGCACUCAUUUUGUCGUUUGUUAACUGAUUUUGUUUAUGCUGUAUUAUGUUUGUGCUUCCAUGUACAAAUGUUAGAGGAAAUAAAUAAUGAUGACGGUCAAACACGCACACACAUAUACGUGCAAGCAUUCAAAAUGGCUUAGUUUGUUAUUUCUGCCUGUGACAGAUGGAAAUUCUGCUCCUGACAAAAGAUGAACUGACAUUCCAGCAUUACAAUAAUUUCCUCCAUGCACAGCCAGAAGUGUAGAACAAAUCAGAACAAAUCUGUUUGUUUGUCUCCUGCUCCAUUGAAGGAACAUCCCUUUUUCCCUGCUCUUCCUUUUACAUGCCCGGAGGUGAGCCGCGUGUCCUUUGGGACGAUGACCAAUCAAACGAAUCUCCCUGGUGAGGAGAUGAAACAUAAAGGAUUUGCUCUGAGGGCUGAAGUCAAGCCUGGCUUCAUGUGUCUGCAGGCUAGCGGCUGUCUCAGGAGGCACCACUCUCACUAGACUCACUUCUUGAUCUUUCUGAGCUCUUCACUGGCUCAGAUGUCCCCCACCCCCAAACCCCAACUCCCUCUGGUGCGAUAUGACUUCCCUCUUUGGUCGCCAUUGGCAAACCCUUGUAGAUCAUAACAAAGGCUUCGCCAUGAGGCCCAAGCCCCACUUCAUUUGAAUUUACAUCAUGUGCAGCCUAUAUGUUUGGAUAAAGUUUAUCUGAAUUUAAGUUACCGUGAGGAGGCCUCCAGCUACCCUCCAUUUGCACACCCCUAGACGGUGUGCUUAGCUCACUGCAGUAGCUUCGGGCCAUUGGUUCCUAAUGGGAGCCGACUGCAAUAUAACAUAUUUAUUCUUAUUUAUUCAUCUGGCAGAUGCUUUCAUCCAAAGCAACUUGCAGUGACUUGACUCGCAUAGUAAAAAUGCAUGUCUGCGUCUGCAUGUGUGCUCAUUGGGAAGGAAACCUGUGGUAUUUUUGUUGUUAGCACGUUGGCUUAGCGGUUAAGCUAGAGGAGCUAUGGGACCAUGUUACGCCUCCAUUCCAUCAGUUCCAGUUUUCCACUAGCAUGUUCACUCCUGUCCUUGGAUGAGUGCAGAGAUGUGUGCUUGGUGUGCUUGUUGCCCAUGGUCACAUGCGCCAUGAAUGCGAGAAGAUCAUCAGCAGGCUUCCGGUGUCAGGAGCGACUGCUGCUCUCCCUGUGGAAAUAAUGCAGGGCUCUCAAGUGUCACGCAUUGAGCGUGACAGUCACUCAUUUCGGUCUUUAAUCACGCACUCCCGCCACACAUCGUAUUUCUCACGCUGAAAAAAAAACUCUAGGCUAUUUAAUGUGCCGCAGCGCGCUAACAUGACCUGGCCGCGCUGCCCUCACCAUGGAGGAAUCAAGCACGUCUCCCCGAAUCCCCUGGAGUUCUGCCGUGAGGUGCCAAUUAUCAGCCAAUCAAAAAAAAAAAAAAUAGCCAAUCAGAAAAAAAGUGUCUUUUGUAUCUGUUGUAUCUGGGUAAGAUUUAAUCCAGCAACCAAUGAAAAUAAAGCAUCCUGGAAUUGCGCGCGACUGAUCUUCCGAAAGUUUCGUUAACCUGAGGAAACCACU
ensembl:lncRNA